AAUCUCCUGAACUAGAAACUGCUGCUGCUGCUGCUGCUGGGGGCAGCGGGAGGACGGGAGGCGUUCAUUGCCCGCGUGGGGUCCAAAGAAGAGUUUGUUUUUAAAACUGUAAGGAUACCUUCGUCUUGGUCCUCACUGAGAGGAGAAAUUGCUGCUAUCUUUGAAGAACUAUCAUUCCAAAGAAAAUCUGGAGUUAGAAAAUUGAAGACCUAAAAUCCAGAAGAAACAUAAAAAUC
ensembl:lncRNA